CUGUUCCAUUUAUUUUGCAAAUGUAUCCUGCUUGUUGCUGCUGUUUUCAGCCAUGCCCUUUCUCCUUCUUUCUGUGAUGAUGCCUCCAUUUCUGUGAUGUCUGACUUUUUUCCUUCCUCCUCUUUCUUGAGCGCCGCCACCUCGGUUUUCUUCACCUCUUGUUGUCUUCUGAGGUCUUCCUCGAGCCUGUGCCUCUGCCACAAGUUCCUGAUCCACGGAGGCCACAGGUAACAUCCGGUUGUUUGAACCCGUGGAGAACUGCGGGGCACGGUUCUCCUCUGCUUCUCAGCCACGCCGUCCCGCCAUGCGUUCUUCACCCACAUUUGUCGGUUGCUGCCUCCCUCCCUCCAGCUGUCAGCUGUCCCUCUCUCUUCCUUCUUCUCCCUUCCUCCCUCUCCAUGUGUACGGCUUGGACCUUAACCCUCUUUUUCUCUCAAAGACCUGAAAUGUGGGGGUCCUAGAGGGCCCCUCUUCAGAGCCACACUUACAGCCAGCCAGUUGCAAAGAGGGCAGGUAGAUUCCACACCAUCUUCCACAGCCCGCUGCCUGCCACUCUCUGCAGCUCAAAUUUCAGGGGCUCCUGCAGCUGAGACAUGGACCCUACUUUACGCCAAGCAGAGGGCCGUGGGGUUCCCUCGUGUGACUGUGAGGUUUGCUGGAGACUGCGAGCCUGCCAGUGUGGCCUCUGCCCUGCCUGGUGCCCAUCCUGUCUCCGAUCCACCUGCACGCCGCAUCCUGGAUCCUCAUCUCCCGCACCCAUGGAUUUCAGCAUCCAGUGUUUCUUGGCGUUCCCUCUCACAGGCCCAGUUCCUCAUGGACGUGAGACCUUCCCACCCAGCGUCUCCCCGAACACGGCCGAAUAACAGAAGAUCUUCUUCAGAAACCUCAAGCUCCGAUGAUGCCUUCAGACCCAUGAAGAUGGAGUGUGAAAUUCCAUGAAUAUCGAGUCUAUUUUCUGGACCCCAGAGGCUUCAAUGGAAAAUUGAAGAAUAUGAAUGAAUAUAGCAAAUUUCAGCAGAGAGAUCGAAAGGACCACAGAGGAUGAAAUGAUGAAAUGCUCAUGCAAGAGAAAAAUCUCAACAAAGGAGCUACAGAAUGCUUUCCCCAGACUGUCUGUCUGACACCAGAUUUGACAACACUUUGUAAAUAACCAGGAGCCACAGUAGAAAUAUUCUAGGGAAUGGGAAUCACUGUCUCCUGAGGUAACAAAGAAAUAUAGAAAGCCAACAAAAUGUUUAGAAUUAUAAUCAUGAUAAUAAUGAUAGCUAGCAUUUAUUGAGUACUUGCUGUGUUCCAGCCAGGCUUGGUACUAACCUCUGUAUAUUUAGUAACUCAUCCAUUGGCUCUAUGUGACAUGUCCUACAAUCAGUCCAAGAGUAGGAAACUGACGGUGACAGAGAUGAAAAGACUUUU
rnacentral:lncRNA from 1 species